GACGAACCGAGCGAACGUUGUUCGGAAUCACUGGGCUUAAAGGGCGCGUAGCGGGCUGCCAAGUUUUGGGGUGAAAUCCACCGGCUCAACCGGAGAAGGGCCUCGAAUACUGGCGGUCUGGAGGGAGGUAGGGGCGUGCGGAACUAACGGUGGAGCGGUGAAAUGCGUUGAUAUCGUUAGGAACUCCGGUGGCGAAGGCGGCACGCUGGACCUUUUCUGACGCUGAGGCGCGAAAAGCCAGGGGGAGCGAACGGG
rnacentral:rRNA from 1 species